AGGUCUCCAUGAAAGGAUUUUUUAUGCUUAAAAAUAUUCUCAAGUCUUUAAAAGAAACCCUGUAAUAAUCGUACACUUUAUAAAAAUGCCCCCUUCCCCUUUAGUACCGUCGUGUUUUAAGUUUAAGGUGACACUGGGCAGAGAUGAAACUGACAAUGAAGAUAUCUAAAUAUAAAUUGCCAUGUUGUAUAUAAAAUUUAUCAUUUCCUGUUAUUAAUAAAAAAAAAUCGUUUGUUAUAAAGGAAUAUGUUUUGACAGCAUUCAAAUUAACUUUUGAAGAUUUUUUUUUAUAAAUAGAUAUCGGUGUUAUGUUUAAACAAUCAAAAUACAUGUAAACAUGUUUGAAAAUAAAAAGAGAUUACGUUU
rnacentral:misc_RNA from 1 species